ensembl:lncRNA
ACAAAAGCAGAAGUGCCAGGCUCCUCUUAGUGUUGAAGUAGGGCUGGGGAGGGUUUGUAGGAUGGGGAGGAAGCACAGCAAAUACUGAAUCGAAAGAGGGUUGAGGAUUAAAUCCAUUUGAGAUGGGCUUUUAUACUGAAAUCUUUUGGCGCUGCAAGUUUCAGGGACAGUAUCAACUGCUCCCUCUGGAUCAGGAAGUUAACCUUGAAAAUAAAGUGAGUGGCCUGUGUUGCCUGUUGCUGAUGGCUGAUUUGAAAGGCAUGUGAAACUACAAAGUCACAGUCACUGUUCAGGUCAUAGAGAACCAGCUCCAGGAAUAAGGCCAAGGUGGUACUAGAGCCUGUGGUAUGCUCUUUCUUUGUUGUUGAAGGCUACGUAAGAACCUUUUCUUUGGACAUACUUCCUCAUAUCUGUCCCCCUCCUAUGCCAAUUCCAGUGUAAACAUACAUUUCUGCAUUAAUCCACUCAGAAAUCUGAACUACUGGCCUGAGGAGCUUUGCUGCAUACUUUGUGGAACAGUAUUAACAGAAUGGAGCAGUAAAGUGAAGCACUGCAAGCAGAAAGAAGCUACAAAUGCAGUCUUGGCAAGCAUGUUCUAUUCUCCACUUAAAUACAUUCAAGAAGGGUUUAUGCUCAGAACUGAGUAAAAGCAAACAAAGAAACAUUGCUGGAUUUAUCCUGUUUGUUUUGCAAAUACAAAUGCCCAAAUACUUGACUUCCUUAGCAACUUUAAACAGAACCAUAUGAAACAGCACAACUGGAAGUUCUGCAUUCUGUCAGCAGAAAGUUCUACCAUCUGACAUGCUGGACGUGGCAGGAAGAUACAGCACAUCACAAAUAGCAUCUAUUUCCUGUUGGUUCAACUGGGAGCAGACCAUAAAAUGUGGAAACACAGAAAAUGAGCAAAGAAGUUCCAAGAUGUGUGUGGGGGAGGCAGCAGUAGCCAGACUGAAGCACAAGGAUGCCACCACAGUCAGUGCUGGGUUCCACAAGAUUUCCAAGGCAGUUUUCCCCUGCCAGUGGACAAUAACACAAGAGAUACCAAAAGGGUGUGAUGGUUGGUGCUCAUCUUCCCUUUUGUUACAUGCAACAUGGAUCCUGGAGAAACCAGCACCCCUCAUGGGCUGUGGAGGACAGCACAGCAGCUGGAAUUACAGGAGAGGAAGGGAGGAGAAGGAGAAAGAUGCAGCUGGAAUGGCAACUUCUCCCAGCAGUGCCAAGGAGAGCUGUGGUGAGUCCUCCUCCCUUGUGUGUCUCAGGACCCUCCCUGCCCCUCCACUGCCCCCCUCCUCCCUACUUUCCUCAGCGCUGCAAUUUUUUUUACUUUGGCUCCCUUGUAUCUACUUUUUCCAUCUUGCUCUGAGCAGUUCCCUGUCCCUGUAUUUGCCCUAUAGUCACUGGUUUCUUCCUCCUUUGCUGUCUGUCUCUGGCUCCCAGGCAGUAUUUUGGAGUUCUUCCCUCUCUGUGCUGGAGCUUGUCAGUGUAUCUCUGAUCUCUGUGUCUCUCUGUCCAGCAGCUUGUCCCUGUUCAAGGUUUUCCUACUUGGCUCUGUAGCAUGGAAUGAAUCUAUUUCUUUCUCCAUCUCUCUUUGCUCUGCUCCCUGCAACUCAUUUUGAAAUCCUUGCUCUCUGUCCUGUACUGGAAUGUGUUCUUUCUCUGUCUCUCUUUUUUCAGCUCCUGCUCCCUGUUUACAAUUACUUCUCUCUUCAUCUCUCAGCCUGGUGUUGAAUCACAAUCUUUAAUUCUUCCUUUCCUUCCCUGAGGCCCACCUUGGGCUCCCUGUCCCUAUUUUAAUUCCUCAUUCCCUAGCUGGUGCUGUUCUUCCUGUGCAGGUGGUGCUGUGUCAGGUCUUUAUCUCUAUUGUAAUAAAUGGAAAUGAUUUCUGCUAAUUAAAUUGUAA